rnacentral:lncRNA from 1 species
UAGCAAACUAGUGGAAACAUCACAGGAGACAGGGAACAUUGAAAACACAGAGUUGCAUACAUAAAACCUCCAAGUAUAUCUGGAAUCUACUGUUUCAUAAAAUGCAAUAAACAUCUUUUAGCUCUCAUUAAUAAGAAAUUUAUUUUGUUUACAGAACCCACAUGCAGACAUAGUAAAGAAAAAAACAAAUUUCUUUAUAGUCUUAUAGAGCUGAACUGAAACUCGCUCACAGACACAUUUCCCCUUGACACUAGUGCCUUGGGAGCCUCAAGGUAGAUGAGACCUUUCCUAACAGAAGCACACACAGACACAACCGCCACCUGAUUUCUGCCUACGUUUCCACUGGCAAUCCUAUGCUUAGCUACCUUUGGACCCCAGGAGGGAAAAGAAACCAAAACGGAACAAAACUUCUCACAUCAGAACUACCAGUUACGAGGGGGAAGAGAAAAAAGGAAACACAACCAAACAGAAAAGAAGUCCUCUAGAGUGCAACGUUUCCCAGGAGCGUGGGCUCUUACGCACCCUCUCCGCGGAUGCGGCGGGCCAGUUGCAUGUCUCCGGGCAUAAUUGUGACGCGCCUGGCAUGGAUGGCACACAGGUUGGUGUCUUCAAAGAGGUUCACCAGGUAGGCCUUGCUGGCUUCCUGCAGGGCCCCAAUGGCCGCACUCUGGAAGCACAGGUCCAGGCUGAUGACCUGAGCGAUCUCGUGCACCAGGCGCUGGAAAGGCAGCUUGUGCAGGAGCAGCUGCGUGGACUUCUGGUACUUUCUGAUUUCCUGCAGCGCCAGGGUGCCAGGCUUGUAGCGAUCCUCAACCUCAUCAGCGGUGUGAAAACUCAAUCAAGUCCCCGGAUUCUGCACACACCCCAGGGAGGGAGGAACCUCUGCUGUGUGCAUCAUGGGAGGGAUGGUAGGUGCGAGUUAGAUAAAAUUCUGGGUUCCAAGGAGAUUCUGAAAGUUUACAUGGAAGUCAUUACAAUGAAAAAGACAUAUGAGUAAAGUUGCAUGUUACACGACAUUGGUGACUGCUGCAAAACACCAUUUGUGACUGCUGAUGAUCACACCAAGGGUACGAUCAUGAGGUGUCUCUCAGGUUCCCGGAGGAUGAGGUGAAACGGGGAGGGAAAGAUGGAAAACCUCUAACAGGGAUGCUCUUG